rnacentral:lncRNA from 1 species
AAGGGUGACAAAGGAGCAAGGCAGCCGGCCGGACACGAUGUCAUCCCUCAGCUGCAAGCAGAGGUAGUACCUGGUAAUAUCUUCAGAUAGCUGGGCAGGGUCUGGAGGGUAGAAUUUCACAUUAAAUGCAAACUGCCAAGCACCACUUCGGAUCUGCUUUUUGAUUUCCUUGGCAGGGUCCAACCAAUUCUUUUGGUUUUCUGUGUCUCUGUAUGUUAGCCCAAAGUAGUCUUUUUCCAACAGGUUCAGAUGCUCACACACUUUGUCGAAUAGCACUUGGCCUCUGGAACGUUUCUCUACUUCACAUGCAUAUUCAGAUCCAUCCAGGAGUGUCACUUUGCACUGCAUAUUUUUAGGUUUCUUGACAAUCUUUAGAGGAGACUUGGAAAGUUUGCUUGAUGAUGAUUUUUGGGAGAGCUUGUCGUCCUCUAACUGCUGAUAUUCAAGCUGUUUUGCACUUGCAGCUGCAAACUCCUGUUCUUUGUCUGUGGGCUGCUCCUUCCUCACCGGCGUGCUGUGUGCUGCCACAGCUGAGAACUGCUCAAGUUCGUUUUGGUGCUCUUCACUCAGUUGCUGCUGCUGCUGUUGCUCCUGUGGUGGGACCUCUGCUGCUGCCCCUGGCUGUGCAGGGGCUUCUUGCUGGUCCUGCUCUUUGUCCUUGGACUCAGAAUCUGAUCCCGACUCUGAGCCCCCGGCCGGGAUCGCCUCCUUCCGCCGCUCCUCCUCCCGCUGCCUCUCGGCGCGGGCACAGCCCCGGCCCGCCGAAGUUCCGCGCCGCACAGCCGGACUCCCACCUGCAGCACCCGGCGGACUCCGGCUGCCGGCACGGC